GAACGCACAUUGCGCUCUCUGGUAUUCCGGAGAGCAUGCUUGUUUGAGUAUCAGUAAAACACCCUCAGCUCCCCCGCUUCUUAGGAAGAGAGGAGGCUGGACUUGAGAGAUCCCAACGGCAGUGAGAACUGCUGGCGGGUCACUUGAAAUGCAGGUGCGGCUGGACACAUCUUCUGAGCUAUAAGCAUUACUUAUUUAGUCCCGUAAAACGGAUUAUAUCUAUUGCUGCAGCUAACAUAAAGGUCGAUUGUUCUUGUGCCCGACUGAUGCAGGAAAAUGAAGGCGUCUAAUAGCGUCCUUUGUUCAACUCGAUCUCAAAUCAAGCAAGACUACCCGCUGAACUUA
rnacentral:misc_RNA from 1 species